rnacentral:misc_RNA from 1 species
GUCAGACUUCUGUAUAAUGAUGGCAAAUAUAGACAAUUGAAGGUAGCAACAAGAUGUUGUGGGCAUCAAAAUCAAUUAAGCCAACCCAUGAAAGAGUUGUGUUUGAAAGAAAAAAAUUUACAGUCCAACACAGCUUAAUUUUUUAUCAUCCAAGAAUUUUAAACACAAUUAAUAUUUUCCAAUAUAGGACAAACUAAGAUUCUUUAGUAGUCACCUUAGCUUUAGAAUUUGCUAGGGUUAAAUUUAACCUUGGCAUAAUUUAGCAGAGAUCAAAAGAAUAUAGCAGUAUUCAAUCA